rnacentral:lncRNA from 1 species
AGAUGAAAGUCAUAUCAUUUGCAAUUUGAUGCAGCUUUCUUUAGAAUUUCUUGAUGACUCCAAGGUGGUUUAUAUGCUAGUGCACCUGUUGCAUGUAAUCAGGUUUUAUUAGAUAAAUAAGCAUCAAGCCCUUUGCAUGCUCUCCUUCACUACUCAUCUUCUCAAAGGGCCACUUGCAGUGGGGAAAAGCAGCCUUUAUUAUAGCUGCUUUGCAUAAUAAGGCUGUCUCUCCCUUCUUCUGCCUCCUCACCUCCCACCAGGAGGAAAUAUUGCAUCUGUCUCUCUUUGAGGGCAUUCAGGCUGGAUGGCCUUGUGAUAAAGCACAGAAGUUGGAGGCAUAUAAAUCUAACACAUAUCAGUUAAAAAUAAUCAUCUCAGACUAGGUUCACGAUAUGCUGCUCGGGUUCUGUGUUUUAUCUUAUUCCUGGAAACAAGAGCUGCUGCUAACAUUAAAAACACAGCUUCUUAUAAUAGUGUCUUAUCUCCUCCCUUAAUUGCCCAGACAAAGCUGGAGAGAAACUGGGUCACUCAUUCACCGGGUUUAAGUUUACAUGGGAACCUGCUGGUUUUCUUUGUCAUAGGCUCCGAGGUAGCUAAGGCUGUUGCUAACCUCAUAUAUCAUGACAACGUCGCCCUGGGAAUCCCGGUGUCCUCAGAGAUCCUGUCAUGGCUCACAGUGAGCCAGAGGAGCCCGUGAACGCACACAGAGAAGAGUGCAAAUCCAUCACUGUGACUGAACUGGCAAUUUCAAUGUCAGGCCCUCUGAUUGGGUCAAUGGCCCCGGCCUCCAGCGUGAGUGAUGGCUUAUUCGUUCAUUUGGCAGAGCUCUCCCCUGACCCUGAACACCGAGGAUGAGUAAGCUCGUCUCCAGGUGAGACUCAGAAGGCCUGGAUGCUAAAAGCCUUACCAUCACCCACACAGUUCAUUGCACAACUUCCUGACUUCUACAACUCCAGUACCCUCCUCCUUUUCCUCCGAAGCUGCAAGGUUCUGCUUGUGCCAUGGGAGGAGGCCGGAAGGGCGUCCAAGAAGGCCAGUUGGCAGUGCCCUCCACACUGCAGUGAACAGCUUCACAGAGUUUGGGAGGGCCGGUCCUACGAUGGUGGAAGAAUAGGACGGGGAGACCACUCUCUCCCCCACAAAUUCAUCAAAAGAUCAUUUGAAUGCUGAGCAACUGCCACAAAGCAACUUCUGAACGCUGGCGGAGGACACCAGGCACCCAGAAAGGCAGCCCAUUCCUCUCUUGGAAAGGAGGUAGGACAAAAUAUAAAAGACAAAAAGAGACACAGAAGAGUUAAGGAUGGAGACCCGUCCUGGGGAGGGAGUCGUGAAGGAGAAGACAUUUCCAAACAGCAGGAAACCCUUUCACCAGCGGGUCUGUGGGGAGUUUUGGAAUCUCAGAGGGCAACAUAACCAGGAGGGAAAAAAAACAACCACAGAAGAGGGUUUGGAAAUUAAGGAUCGAGUUGUAAUGGGAAUUCUGUGACAUCUGAGGAUGUUCUCCUCAAUACUGCCAGCUGUAGUGCUAACAGGAAAAAUAAUCACAUUUAAAUAUUUACUCUCUAUCAGGCAUUGUGUAAAGUGCUUUACAUGUAUUAGGUAUCAUCUCACUUAAACACAACAACCCUUUGAAAUGCUUCCUAUUAUUACCUUCAUUUUAUAAAUUAGAAAACAGACUAAGAUGUUAUGUGCUCGAGAGCUGCGGGUUGAACCCAGGGAGAUGGGCCCCUCCAGUGCCCGUGGCUUCAGCCACUGCUGGGAGAGAAUUCUCUAAGGAUCUCCUGUAUUUCUGUUUGUAUUGUGAACAGAGGAACUGACUGCCCUAUUCUGAAUGAUCUUUACAAGGAGUUUAAAUAAUGAAGAACCUUAGGAGAUACUGUCCAGUAUAAUAAUAAUUUGGGUUUCCCUGGUGGCUCAGAUGGUGCAGGAUCUGCCUAUAAGGCAGGAGACCCAGGUUUGAUCCCUGGAUUGGGAAGAUACUCUGGAGAAAGGAACGCCUACCCGGUCCAGUAAUCUUGCCUGGAAAAUCCCAUGGACAGAGGAGCUUGGUGGGCUUUAGUCCAUGGGGUCACAAGAGGCGGACAUAACUUAGAAACUGAGCUAUCAAAUAAUAAGAUAAUAUCUCAUAAUAAUUUAUCUUGUAUUUUAUAAUAAGAAAAUAAUCUCUCUCUCUGGGCCAGAGGUUAAAAAGGCCUGCUGUCCACUAUAGAAGAUGCAGAUUCCCUAACCUCAGGAUUCCUCUCCUGUAAUGCAACUCACUGUGCAGACAUCGACUGGCCCUCAUUAAUCACCUUCUGGGAGUGAUGGUAGGGUAACUGGCACAAAUGCGGACCCUCUGGCUACU